AAAAUAUCCCGUAACUUGGGUAAACGAACAAAUAAUUAUAUUUACAAUGCUGCAGCAAACUUAUUUUAGAACCUUAUUUACACUUUGCACAUUAUUUACAAUUGGAUCGCUUUCGAUCUUACAUCGCGGUACCCCUCGCGCGGGCGAGAUUUACCGGCGGGCAAAACGAUCACUGAUGAUCGACAGUCGAUCAUCGAGUGACAGAUUGGAAUCUGUCAUGUUUCUGUCAAAAUGAUAACAUACCGACAUAAACACUAUGGUUAUGUUAUGUUUUGUUGACAAAAUUGUGUUGUGAUCACGAAUAGUAAGAUCGUUUUCAGAAGAACUAGUGAUUGGUGAUUUGACUGGAGUCAGUUAGGGUGAUGCUGCUAGGUCGCGAUCUUUUUUUGGAAAAGAUGGCCUGCAGUUACCCAAAACAAAUCAGGGAAUGGCCUUCAAUCUCAUCUUGAUUUCUCAAGAUGGAAAUAAGGUAAGUGUAGUGCAUAUAAUUACGGGUUAAAAUGAAUGAUCAUUUGGACAUAAUCGUGAAAUUGUCACGAAGUGACAAGUGGGCAAUUCGGUCAUUCUUAUUGCAGUAAGUGAUCUGAAAGAGGAUCAGGUCGGUCGAUUUAUCCCUCAACGAUCACUUUUACUGCGAGAAAUGACAGAAAUUGUCGGUCAAUGAGUCAAGUCAAACUUGUACUCAUGCGAGUGGGGGUGGUUUUCCCCGUAAUCAAUUAAGGUCUCAAUGAAUCUCAUCAUUGAAAAUUUCAUUGUACCUGCAAAUUGAUUAACGAUUGCCUUACUUUUCUUUUCAGGACAAUCGGCCCUUAAGCUUCCGGAGAUCUACGUGUUGCGGCCAGCCGGGGAGUUCGAAAGGCUGUUCCGAGGGCAAGAAUGUAGUAAUCCCUCGACAACGCGAAGUUCCUCCGACGUGGUCCGGCUUGUGAUCCCGGUUGUUUAGCAUUAAGGUAAAACAAUUGUAAAUAAAGUGUGUAAAUUUGUUUAACCCUCUCAGGCCCAUUUGGCUUGGAGGGUAAAUAGGGUGUAGAAAAAUUUGAGAAAUCUGUCAAUGUCAGUAUUUCGCGUAAAUCCGUGUAUCACAGUGAAUGGUAAGUAUAAGUGAGCUGACUAAGUGUAAAUUUUAUAAACUAGUAUCACAGGUAAGCAUCACAUUUGGUAAGUAUGUAUAGAAAUAUUAUGAUUAAAAGUUUCAACAUGGAUUUGACGAUCACGUACAAAUUAAAAUGUUUGAAACGAGAUAAAUUUUGGUGGUGUGUCCGUUCAGGACCUCUUAUUUUGGAAUGCAAAACUUCCGAACUUUUACAAGUUUUUAUCGGAUUUGUUUUUAAUGUCGGUUUGAGUAUACGUACGAAGUACGGAUCCCUCCCACCACCAGUCGGAAAAUCCGUGUAGAUUUUCAUACUUUACGAAACCACCUUGAUCACCGUUCGCGAAAACUUUAGUUGGGCGCCAUCUGUAACUAGCUGCCUGCCAACUACUUACCCGUACAAGCUAGCAGCAGCAAGAAACUCCUCGAGCUGGGUCUCAGAGUCGGCUUACUACUGGGUGAUCAAGGGGACGCGGACAAAGUAUGGAAACUCCGGAAUUUUCAUGUUCUUUCAACAACAUUUAUUUGCCCUAUCCUGUGGCGUGUGGGUGUGGGGUUCACAUUUGGUGUGGAGUGUAUGAGAGGCGAUCGAUCGUUCUUUUACUCACUGUUGUACUCCGACGUUGGCCCACACGGUUACGCACGAUUGCGAUAGCCCUACCGUGGGGCCGGAAUCU